rnacentral:rRNA from 1 species
UACGGGGGGGGGCAAGCGUUGUUCGGAAUUACUGGGCGUAAAGGGCUCGUAGGCGGCCAACUAAGUCGGACGUGAAAUCCCUCGGCUUAACCGGGGAACUGCGUCCGAUACUGGAUGGCUUGAGUAUGGGAGAGGGAUGCGGAAUUCCAGGUGUAGCGGUGAAAUGCGUAGAUAUCUGGAGGAACACCGGUGGCGAAGGCGGCAUCCUGGACCAUUACUGACGCUGAGGAGCGAAAGCCAGGGGAGCAAACGGG